UGGCUUAGUCGGUGGAGCAUGAGACUCUUGAUCUCGGGGUUGUGAGUUCGAGCCCCAC
rnacentral:tRNA from 1 species